rnacentral:rRNA from 1 species
UACGUACUGUGCGAACGUUAUUCGGAAUCACUGGGCUUACAGGGUGCGUAGGCGGCUUGUUAAGUAGGGUGUGAAAGCCCCCGGCUCAACCGGGGAAUUGCGCCCUAAACUGGCGAGCUGGAGUGAGAUAGGGGUGUGUGGAACUUCCGGUGGAGCGGUGAAAUGUGUUGAUAUCGGAAGGAACGCCGGUGGCGAAAGCGACGUGCUGGACCUCUUCUGACGCUGAGGCGCGAAAGCCAGGGGAGCAAACGGG